AUGGCAGAAACACAAAACAACCUGGUUGUUAAAACAAAGACAAGGCAGACGCAGAGAAACGCAGACGCAAACGCUGACGCAUCUACAAUGGCAGAAGCACAAACGGAAAUGGUCAUCACACCAAAAAUAACAAUCUUGCAAAGGCCAAAACCUGAGCUUGAAAAAUCCGGAAGACCAAAUCCUGAAAAGUCUCCUGUGGCACAACCACAAAAGGAAAUGGUUGUGAAACCAAAGAAACAAAAAAAGCAAAAACAGAAAAGAGUGGCUGAAGAACCAAGAAGACCAAUUACUCGGGCAUAUGCCCGGGCUCUUCUUGAAGCUCAAAACAGCAUGGGUGAUGGAGCAAACCCGAAAAAUGAAGAAAUGCAAGAAAGCACUGAAGCCACUCCUGAAAGGGAAAAAGCUGAAUCCCUCACCAUUUCAAAUGUAAAGGAGGACAUGAAUAUGGAGAGAGAGGGAAAUGUGAAGAACCCCAGCAGACCAAACCCUGGGCCUAAUGGAGGGACUUGGCAAUAUCAACCCAAUCCCACAUUUAGACCCCAUCAGGGCAGUGUCCAGUUUAAUCCCUGGUACGAGAUUGCUGUUCUCAGACAGCAACUGGAAGCCUCCCAAUACCAUCAGAAUGACCUUUACUGGAAAAUGGUAGCUGCAAACAAGAGGGCCUCUUAUCACCAGUUUCAGGUGAACAAACUUCAUGCACAAAUGCACGAGAACAAGAGAAGUCAUGAGGAAACAAUUAAAGACCUCAUAGAGCAGCUGGAGGAGGCUUCUAGUAAUAAGCCCAAUGACAUCAGUGAGACAGAGGCUCUCACAAAUGACAGUGAAGCAAUUGUCAAACUGGAUGAGGUGAUGGUUACCCUGCAGGAACAAAUCAGCCACCAUACCACAGAGCAGUGUGUGGAGUCUGCCACUCCAACCACAGAGGCUUCACACACUGACUCUGUAGGACUGAUGUCCUCUAAGGAGGCUGAAUUUGAGGUCCAAUGUAGAAUUCAGCAAGAGCAGAUUGAGAUGCUCCAGAAACAGCUCCUAGCAGCUCAAAAUCAGCUCAAAGAACAGGCCAUUAAACAUAGGCAGGAGCAGGAGACACUCAACACAGAAAUUAGUGACCUCAAAUCCCAGCUCUGCUCCAACAAAUCCCUUCAUGAUUUGAAGGUUGAGACUCUUGAGCGAGAGCUGGAAGAAGCCAAAGCUUCCCCACUUAAAAUCCCACAGCAGCAAAAAGAACAAAAUUCCACCGCUGCAAAUGAAAUGCAUAAAUGUGAGCCUCUGAAAGCAAAAGACACUGGAGAACAGGAGAAGAUGGAAAAAGAGGACUCACUGCCAUCCACUGCAAUGUCUCUGCAGGAGCCUCUGGAAGUAAAAGGCACCACAGAACAACAGAAGAUAGAAAAAGAAGAGUCAGCUGCAUUCUCUGUACAGGAAUCUUCGCAAAGACUACGAGACCAACAGAAAAUGCUCACUGCCAAGGUGCCUGAACUCGAGACUGAAGUUAAGAGCCUGCCGGAGAUACUGCCAAUUAAGAAGAAGAAGAACAAGAAGAAGCAGAACAGGCUGCGUCUCCAAUUUCACCUAAUUGGUCUCAACAUCACGUCCUAA
rnacentral:lncRNA from 1 species